rnacentral:rRNA from 1 species
ACCUCAAUCACUGACCGAAUGCUUGACAUUGACUGAAAAUUGAAGACUUUUAGAAAAACAAAAAAAUUGACGGGACCAUACGGGGCGCUCCCCCCCUGACCGUAACAAAAAGCCCCGGCUAACUACGUGCCAGCAGCCGCGGUAAUACGUAGGGGGGGAGCGUUAAUCGGAAUUACUGGGCGUAAAGCGUGCGCAGGCGGUGCUGUAAGACAGGCGUGAAAUCCCCGGGCUUAACCUGUGGAAUGGCGUUUGGGACUGCUGGGCUGGAUUGCGGAAAAGGGGGAUGGAAUUCCCCGUGUAGCAAUGAAUUGCUUAAAUUUGCGGAGGAACACCGAUGGGAAAGGCAAUCCCCUGGGCCUGAACUGACCCUCAUGAACAAAAAGCGUGGGGAGCAAAACAGGGAUUAAAUACCCUGGUAGUCCACCCCCUAAACGAUGUCUCCUGGUUGUUUGGGUCUCUUCUGACUCUUUAUCCAACCUAACACCGUGAAAUUGAUCCCCCUGGGGAAACCGCCCCAAAGUUUAAACUCUUAA